GUGCUUGCGUCGGCAACACAUAUACUAAAAUUCAAAUGAUACAGAGAAGAUUAGCAUGGCCCCUGUGUAAGAAUGACACACAAAUUCGUAAAGUAUUCCAUAAAAAA
rnacentral:snRNA from 1 species